rnacentral:misc_RNA from 1 species
GAGAGUUGACCCUGACUCCCAAACCCCUGUGAACAUACCGUACGUUGCCUCGGCGGGGGGGCGCUCCCCCCCGCCGGCGGCCCACGAAACUCUGUUUUGCCCUGCAUCUCUGAAACGAUAAACUAAAUCAGUUA